ACGCUCGACACCUACGGGAAGGCAGCAGUUAGGAAUAUUGGGCAAUGGAGGAAACUCUGACCCAGCAACGCCGCGUGAAGGAAGAAGGUUUUCGGAUUGUAAACUUCUGAUCUAGGGGAAGAAGGAAGUGACGGUACCCUAGGAGAAAGCCACGGCUAACUACGUGCCAGCAGCCGCGGUAAUCUGAGCGGGCUGGCAAGGC
rnacentral:rRNA from 1 species